UGGGGAAUUUUGGACAAUGGGCGCAAGCCUGAUCCAGCAAUGCCGCGUGUAGGAUGAAGGCCUUCGGGUUGUAAACUGCUUUUGUACGGAACGAAACGGCUCUGUCUAAUACAUGGGGCUAAUGACGGUACCGUAAGAAUAAGCACCGGCUAACUACGUGCCAGCAGCCGCGGUAAUACGUAGGGUGCGAGCGUUAAUCGGAAUUACUGGGCGUAAAGCGUGCGCAGGCGGUUAUAUAAGACAGAUGUGAAAUCCCCGGGCUCAACCUGGGACCUGCAUUUGUGACUGUAUAGCUAGAGUACGGUAGAGGGGGAUGGAAUUCCGCGUGUAGCAGUGAAGUGCGUAGUUAUGCGGAGGAACACCGAUGGCGAAGGCAAUACCCUGGGCCUGUACUGACGAUCAUGCACGAAAGCGUGGGGAGCAAACA
rnacentral:rRNA from 1 species